rnacentral:rRNA from 1 species
UACGUAGGGUGCGAGCGUUAAUCGGAUUUACUGGGCGUAAAGCGUGCGCAGGCGGCCCGUUAAGACAGGUGUGAAAUCCCUGGGCUCAACCUAGGAAUUGCGCUUGUGACUGGCGGGCUCGAGUACGGUAGAGGGGGGUGGAAUUCCUGGUGUAGCAGUGAAAUGCGUAGAGAUCAGGAGGAACACCGAUGGCGAAGGCAGCCCCCUGGGCCUGUACUGACACUGAGGCGCGAAAGCGUGGGGAGCAAACAGG